UAGGGUAUCUUCGGCAAUGGGGGCAACCCUGACCGAGCAACGCCGCGUGAGUGAAGAAGGUUUUCGGAUCGUAAAGCUCUGUUGUAAGAGAAGAACGUGUGUGAGAGUGGAAAGUUCACACAGUGACGGUAACUUACCAGAAAGGGACGGCUAACUACGUGCCAACAGCCGCGGUAAUACGUAGGUCCCGAGCGUUGUCCGGAUUUAUUGGGCGUAAAGCGAGCGCAGGCGGUUUAAUAAGUCUGAAGUUAAAGGCAGUGGCUUAACCAUUGUUCGCUUUGGAAACUGUUAAACUUGAGUGCAGAAGGGGAGAGUGGAAUUCCAUGUGUAGCGGUGAAAUGCGUAGAUAUAUGGAGGAACACCGGUGGCGAAAGCGGCUCUCUGGUCUGUAACUGACGCUGAGGCUCGACAGCGUGGGGAGCAACCAGG
rnacentral:rRNA from 1 species